GACAGAGGGUGCAAACGUUGUUCGGAAUUACUGGGCGUAAAGCGCGUGUAGGCGGCUGCGCAAGUCGGAUGUGAAAUCCCAUGGCUCAACCAUGGAAGUGCACCCGAAACUGUGUAGCUAGAGUCUCGGAGAGGAAGGCGGAAUGCUUGGUGUAGAGGUGAAAUUCGUAGAUAUCAAGCGGAACACCGGUGGCGAAGGCGGCCUUCUGGACGAUGACUGACGCUGAGACGCGAAAGCGUGGGGAGCAAACAGG
rnacentral:rRNA from 1 species